GGUCCUGUGUCUGUGGAAUGCGCGGAUAGCCACACCCCCCGGGCUGGGCCAUCCUCGGCACACCUGCUCUCCAUCGCUGUGAUUACAGGAGAAGCUACUUCACCCGGCGCUGACGGAUGCUCCGUGCCAGUCCGUUAUCACAUCACAAGUGGUAACUAGGCUCCCAUGAAAGCGCGUAUCACUUCUGGUUGGAACUGUAUCUAAUCUGCCUACUUAUGUCCAGGUUUCGAUUCGGCGUUCAGCAUCUGUCACCUGCCUGUCCUCCUGCUCGAUUGGAUCUCUCAGUACAUCACCUGGCUCUUCCACUAGCUCCACAGGACUUCCUGCUCACGGACUGCCACUCAACCCUCCCGAGCUCCCACGGUCCCGCUCUAUCCCUCCCACGGUCCCGAUUCCGGCUUCCCCGUGUUGUUUCCUCCCCGGGUUUUUCAGUUCCUCGUUUUGCUCUCUAGGUUUCCCGGGUCGCCUUUCGUUAUUGUAAUAAAGUGCCUUUUCUGUUA